AGACUGCUGCUGGCUUCUCUUUGAGGGGCAUGUGCACGUUUGUCCUCUUUAUUUUUCCACCUGUGCACCUUUUGUAGGCUUGGAUUAUCACUGGUUCUAUAAUGUGUCUUUCAAAGGCAUAAGAAUUGUUUUGGGGCUGCUGUGUUUAAACGCAUGUUUAUCAGCUUUCCCUUUUAUUUUCCAAGUCUAUGUUUGCUAUAUACACUCCAGAAAUGUAAUAGAAUGCUGUACUUUAGGUCAUUUGUACCUAUAAUAAAAAAUCAGUACAACUUUCAGCAACGGAUCUCUUGGCUCUCGCAUCGAUGAAGAACGCAGCGAAAUGCGAUAAGUAAUGUGAAUUGCAGAAUUCAGUGAAUCAUCGAAUCUUUGAACGCAUCUUGCGCUCCCUGGUAUUCCAAGGAGCAUGCCUGUUUGAGUAUCAUUAAAUUAUCAACUGUGCCAAUUUUGGUUACAGAUUGGAUGUGGGAGAUUUCUUUGCAGGCUUUUGACUUUCUCUUUGAGAAGGAAAAGAAAAAAGCCAGCUCUCCUGAAAUGUAUUAGCAGUGCCUUUGUUGGUUCAUUAGGUGUGAUAAUUUAUCUACAUCUUCAAAUGGUACCUUCAUUUGUAAAGGUCAUAUUGCUUCUAAUUGUCUUUGGGACAAAACACGUAUAAUGCGUGACAGACUUGAUCUCAAAUCAGGCAGGACUACCCGCUGAACUUAAGCAUAUCAAUA
rnacentral:rRNA from 1 species